rnacentral:rRNA from 1 species
AUUGAACGCUGGCGGCAGGCCUAACACAUGCAAGUCGAACGAGUGGCGGACGGGUGAGUAAUGUCUGGGCAACUGCCCGAUGGAGGGGGAUAACGACUGGAAACGGUAGAUAAUACGGCAUACCCUCGGAUGUGCCCAGAUGGGUUUAGCUAGGGGGGGGGGUAACGGCUCACCUAGGCGACGAUCCCUAGAUGGUCUGAGAGGAUGACCCGCCACACUGGAACGGAGACACGGUCCAGACUCCUACGGGAGGCAGCAGUGGGGAAUAUUGCACAAUGGGCGCAAGCCUGAUGCAGCCAUGCCGCGGGUAUGAAGAAGGCCUUCGGGUUGUAAAGUACUUUCAGCGAGGAGGCGUUACUCGCAGAAGAAGCACCGGCUAACUCCGUGCCAGCAGCCGCGGUAAUAC